GGCCGGUUGGCCCAAUGGCAAGGCGUCUGACUACGAUUGUCCGUCUACAUCUUCGUGCGGCUCCGCUGUGCGAAGCAUCAGAUGCGGAGACUUUGGUAUCAGGAGAUUCUGGGUUCGACCCCCAGGCUGGUCA
rnacentral:tRNA from 1 species